AAGCCGGGCACUCUAAGGGGACUGCCAGCGACAAGUUGGAGGAAGGAGAGGAUGACGUCAAGUCAUCAUGGCCUUUAUGCCUAGGGCCACACACGUGCAACAAUGGCCGGUACAGACGGAGGCAAUGCCGAGAGGCGGAGCAAACCCGAGAAAACCGGUCCCAGUUCGGAUUGAGGUCUGCAACUCGACCUCAUGAAGUCGGAAUCGCUAGUAAUCGCAUAUCAGAACGAUGCGGUGAUACGUUCCCGGGCCUUGUACACACCGCCCGUCACACCACGAAAGUUUGUUGUACCCGAAGUCGGUGCCUUAACCUCGCAAGAGGAGAGAGCCGCCCAAGGUAUGGCCGAUGAUUGGGGUGAAGUCGUAACAAGGUAGCCGUAGGGGAACCUGCGGCUGGAUCACCUCCUUUCUAGGAGAGAAGGGUCCUGGAUGAAGCGCUCCUAUUUAGUCUUGUGAGGAU
rnacentral:rRNA from 1 species